rnacentral:rRNA from 1 species
GCAGUCGAGCGGUAGAGAGAAGCUUGCUUCUCUUGAGAGCGGCGGACGGGUGAGUAAUGCCUAGGAAUCUGCCUGGUAGUGGGGGAUAACGUUCGGAAACGGACGCUAAUACCGCAUACGUCCUACGGGAGAAAGCAGGGGACCUUCGGGCCUUGCGCUAUCAGAUGAGCCUAGGUCGGAUUAGCUAGUUGGUGAGGUAAUGGCUCACCAAGGCGACGAUCCGUAACUGGUCUGAGAGGAUGAUCAGUCACACUGGAACUGAGACACGGUCCAGACUCCUACGGGAGGCAGCAGUGGGGAAUAUUGGACAAUGGGCGAAAGCCUGAUCCAGCCAUGCCGCGUGUGUGAAGAAGGUCUUCGGAUUGUAAAGCACUUUAAGUUGGGAGGAAGGGCAGUUACCUAAUACGUGAUUGUUUUGACGUUACCGACAGAAUAAGCACCGGCUAACUCUGUGCCAGCAGCCGCGGUAAUACAGAGGGUGCAAGCGUUAAUCGGAAUUA